CAUAUCAAUUGGACUGGGGGGACCGGACAAUGAGCCCUCCUCCCCCUGCUCUGCCCUUGGUUCGCCGCCCGCCUCCUCCGCUACUUUGUGCCCUUCCUCCUGCUCUUCUUCCUCUCCCAGCCCCAAGUGCUGUCAAGGCGCGGCAGGAAAGCACUGGUCGGCCGGCCCGGAUCCUGCGGGUAAACGCUAAGAGCGCUUCCAGCCGCCCACCAGGCCGCUGGGCCUUGCGUAGCUCCUUAGCUCUAGCCCCGCGCCAGGGAAGGUGGAAGCGCACCGAGCCGAAGCCCCGCGGGUCACGGCUGGCGCUAGGGCGUGGACCAGGCCUGCAGGUGGAGUACUGCCUCAGGCAGCUCCAAGCGGCGCUCCCUCCCAGCACCCACGACCUGGGCCGGGCAAAUCCGCCCCCCUCGCCUACCCAGGGAGCGCAAAUCCCCAGAGGACUUUCCACAGCUUUGGCAAUAGGGCGCAGCCAACUCCCCACCCUCCUCCGGCCUUUACGCCAGAUCCACUAAACUGGCGACCCUUAUUUGCACGCAUCGGGCCGCUGGCGAGGGUUGGGGGAAGCCGAGGCCCACAGAUUCAAGGCAACCGUGUCCUUUGGGACUGCGCUUCUGCUCGCCUAGUCCUGGGGCGAGGUGCCACCGAUUGCCUGCCCAGGGGCCCACAAAGCGAGGCAGCUGGAGCGGCCCAGGCCGGAGCAGGCCAGGCCAAAUCUCUGCUCCAUCUCUCCUGGUCCACCAGCCCCUACCCGCCACCCACCGCCCCAGCCAGCCCUGCAGGAGCUGUCUCCCCGGGCCACGAUAGAAACUAGAAAGCCUGCCCCUGUCCAGGUGCAAGAAAGCAAAGGAGAAGAAAGUCAAGGAGACGAGGCGGCCUGGGCCUGCGGGGCCUCAACACUCACUCCAGCCUCCACCCCUGCCCGCCGCUACCCCGCAAGGUGGUGUCCGCCUGGGAUCGCGCCGGGGCAGAGGCGCAGGAGCCUGCGGGGCCGCCUGGGGUUUUCAGGCAGCCGAGGAUCAAAGAAUGUCGCGGGGAAGGCAAACUGAAAGGGAACUAGAAGCGACGGCAAGCUUUGCACUCCCGGGGCCGAGGCAGACCCGCCACUUCCCCCGCCGGCCUGGCGGAGCUGCGGGCCGGUCUUCUCUCUGGUCUGCCGCGAAGCCCCCGCCGCUCCGGCAAACGCGGCGAGGAAAACCUUUUUCUUUUCUUUUUCUUUUCCCCCUCCCCCUUCUCCCUCCCUCUCCCAGGCAGCUUCCGUCCUCUAAAUGCAUUAAAAGAAAAAGAAAAGAAAGAAAAAAAAAAUAAAAAAUAAAAGAAGUCUCUGGGGCUCUCCUUUUUCCACCGGUCUUGCCUCUGCCUAAUACUGAUGUUCCGCGAACAAGCGCCAAACUCACACAAGUUUCCCCCGAAAACCGACCGCUUUAGCUGCCGUGAGGGAAAAUGUCGGGGGGUGGGGGGGAAGUGGAGGUCUGUGUUUCCCUAAAUGCAAAACAUCAGAGUGGAAUCUGAAAAGAGCUUUACUUUCCCUGCGAAAUCUCCAUUGUUACUUGGCAAACAAUGGGAGCCUGGGCGACUGUAGGGCUGUGAGAAUGAAUAGGCUAUCCGCGGGAUGUGUGCGGGUCAGUGCUUGGGGUCCCGGGCCUAAAGCCCCUUUCUCAGCUUGCCACAAUAAACCAGCGCAAGGUUUAGUCUUUACUGGGUCACCGGCCAUCCUCUAUUAUUCAACACUUCACAACAAAAAACACUUAUUAAUCAGCGCUGACCAGAGGCCCCCUUUGAAACAAGAGAAGAGGGGAGAGAGAGAGAGAGAGAAAGAGAGAGAGAGAGAGAGAGGGAGAAGGAGAGAUUGGGGUGAAAAGAAGAUUGAGAAGCCCUGGACAGAUCUUUCUAAAGCCAGAGCAACCAUAGGGUACUUUCCUCCAGUGGCCAAAGUUUAUUUGACACAACAAAGUUUUUAAUCAGGCCACGGAGACCUGGAUUUCUCCUCAUUUGCCUGACUCCCCCGUCUCUCCCUCUGAAGAUGUUGGAGACUUUGUUUCGAGGAAGGAUGGCUUUAGGUCAAAUUGCUAAAGCCUGAUCUUAAAGAUCUAAUUGCUAUUGGAAGAGAAGCCUGUUUCUCAGCUGGGCCUCCACUCUGGAGAUGGCGCAAAGAAGACUGUCCACUCUGCUCUGGGCACCCUGCUGAUGGAUGAGGUGUCAGGCCAGUCGUCAUGUGAGGACUGGUUUCCAAAUGCAGAAUCCCACUGGACCAGAAAGAUGACUAGAUGGUACAGAGUGCUGAGAGCCAAGAUGAUCUUUAAGGAUGUUUAUGGAUGUGGUACCCAAGAGAGAUGUACAUCCACCCUAAGAAGUCCCAAGCAAUGGAUCCAGCCAACCAUUGACCGAAAACUUUGAAACUGUGAAUCAAACCAAAUCUCUCCUCCUAAAUUCUAAUUCAUUGAUCAUCUUGUUGAAUACAUCAGACCUUGACAGCACUGCCAAGAACUACUUAAAUAAGCAAAAAUUCUUUAAUUAUCUAAGUUAAAUAAGGAUCAGCUAUCAUGUGGAGGCACAAACACGGGGCUAAGAGUAAGGCUGUCCAAUCUACCUUCUUCAAGG